rnacentral:misc_RNA from 1 species
GCAAACUUGGUCAUUUAGAGGAAGUAAAAGUCGUAACAAGGUUUCCGUAGGUGAACCUGCGGAAGGAUCAUUAAUUGUUUCGGGGGCGCCCAGCGCCUGUCUGUUCAAACCUGUGUCUAUCAUACCUAUGUUGCUUCGGCCGGCCGGUCCUGACCAACUGGUCGCGACCGCCGGGUCCUCUCGCGGGACCUGGAGCGCCGUCGGCCGAUGGCCCAUACCAAAACUCUUCAACCAAACGAUGUCGUCUGAAUAACGUCUUGAUAUAACAAUCAAAAACAAAACUUUCAACAACGGAUCUCUUGGUUCUGGCAUCGAUGAAGAACGCAGC